UCGGAACACGUCUGCAUCGAAACGGGAGCUGGAUUCUGGUGCGGCUGACAACGGUAAUAACGACAUGCAGUAAUGAGGAUGGCACCAGUAUAAAGCAACACACUCCACACACUAAACAGAAGCUGCUGCCUGCUACAACAAGGCCAUUGUGUGGACAUUGGCUGCUACUACAAGAGUCCAUGCCAAGCAUACCUUGGUCAUCACAGGAGCUCCUAUCCACACCAACAGAAAGGGGCUGGAGCUGAAUUUGCAAGGCUUUUACACCACGAACAAAGAAGCGCAUGCAGAAGAAUUUACAUGAGAUAUCAAGUCUGCAGAGCACUGUGUCAAGACUGAAAAGAGCUUCAGCCACCAUUCCACCAGCGCGGACAAAUUGGCUUAGUCAUCCAGGUAACUCAAAAAGGACUUUAUGGAAAUUCUUCGUCUUCAGAUGCGCCUGCAACUUCUGAUCAAGCACGGACGACGCUGGCCAAAAGAGUUCCAUCAGUUUGCCCUUAAUCAGCUUCCUGGCCAUGUCAAUUCCAUUUGUGCCAAGUGUAAUUUUUCUUCUAUAAAUGCAAGCUUUUUCAUUGCCCAUUCUCGUUAGAGAUCAUUCAUCCUCAUCCAAACAUAAAGGUCAACCGAUUCUUCGCUGAUACUUAAUACCAGUCACUGUCUAGUAGCAUAACAUAUCUGUAGCAGUACCUUUUAGUGCAUGUUGUCAUGCACAAUUCCUCUCCUGAAAUAGCUGAUGCAACAUCGACAUGUUUCUUGCAUUAACCUACGCACUGUUUGCUAUGCACCAUUUUACUUUUCUUGAUGUUUUUGGCCUUCAAUGCUUGCAGAGCAGGGUGGCUUCUCUCUUGAAUGCAAGCUUUCUCAUUUUCCAUAUUCCUAGUCUCGUUGAUGGUUGCUCUUCUUCCUCAAUAGCCUGGGUCUUUGCGCAAGCUACACUGAAUGAUAGAUUGCAGAAUCUGGUUUUGCUGCCCCGCUUGGUUGUGGUCGCCGUGUUACAUUUCUCGGAUGUGGGGGCCUGCUCAGUUACAUUGGUAAGCAGUCUCUCGAGGUAAGCAUUUGCUCCUGCAGUCCGCACAGCGACAUAGACUCCCAAUUUACACACCAUGAUUCGUGCUCCCCGUUCAGCCUUUCCUGCUGCAGCCAUGUGCAAAUUGUGCCUGCGGCUUUUCUCACUCGCAAUUAAGCACGAACGGAGACAAGCAUACGUGCUUACAUGGUCCAACGUGUUUGAAGUUCAUAGCCGCAUGGGUGGAAAGGCCCGCAUAAAUGGCUGCCGAAGGUGAUGUCCACGAAAGCGACUUGUCCAUAUUGAGACAAAGUGGGACACCAAAUGUGAGCCACACAUUAGUGGCCCUUGACAGAAAAGAAACAUGCAGGUUGGAAAGGAGUUAACGCUAAAAUGCCGGAUAGUCCAUUUCGCUGUGUUGGUUGUGGCAGCAGAUGCCUGCAUCACUUGAUUGCUUCGCAAUGGAAGUUGCUCAUCUUCAACGGCAACUGUCGGUUCAAACAGGUGCGACGCUCUGUCCAAUCUGUUUGUACUGCUGUUCGUCGUUCGUUACCAGACCACCACAUGCGACGAAGGCAAGCAUUAUGCCUGUAAGUAGGCGGCUGAAUGUAUCCUAAGAGACCCGUGUAUGUGAAUGCUCACUGUUGCCAUAUGGUUUGUAGCCAAUGUAUAACGUAUUCUCUGAACACUAUGUGGUGAAUGAUUGCCGUUUAUUUUUGCUGUUAUCUCACUAGGUUACGGUCGCCGUGUUAUGCUUAUCGGAUGUGGCGGCCUGGUCAGUUGCACUGGAAAGCAGUUUCUCGAAGUAAGCAUUUGCUCCUGCAAUCUGCACAGCGACAUAGACUCCCAAUUUACACACCGUGAUUCGUGCUCCCCGUUCACGUUCAGCCUUUCCUGCUGCAGCCAUGGGCACAUUGUGCCUGUUGCCUUUCUCGGCCGCGAUUAAGCACGAACGGAGACCGGCAUACGUGCUUACAUGGUCCGACGUGUGUGAAGUUGGGUGCAAAGGCCCGCAAAAGUGGCUGAUGAAGGUGAUGCCCACGAAAGCGACUUGUCCAUAUUGAGACAAUGUGGGACACCAAGUGCGAGCCACACAUUAGCGGCCCCCGAAAGAAAAGUAACGUGCAGGUUGGAAAGGAGUUAAGGCUAAAAUGCCGGGUAGUCCAUGUCGCUGUGUUGGCUGCGGCAGCAGAUGCCUGGUUCACCCGAUUGUUUCGCAGUGUUAGUUGCUCAUCUUUAACGGCGACUGCCGCUGCAAACAGGCGGGACACUGACCAAUCUGCAUGAGCCGCUGGUUUUCGCUCGUUACUAGACCGCCAUGUGUGACGACGACGGUGAGCCGUUUACGAGCUCGCGUCAAAGAUUCCAGAGUAUCUCGACAUACAAAUUUUAUUUCUGCUAUUGCACGAAAAUGUACAUACACUGCUUGUCUUCUGCCAAUAAAGUCGCACGUUCUGUUCACUCACUUGUGGCUUGUUUGUAUGGGCGUCAGUAGAGGCUCUUUGCUCUCCUGACAAUUAGAACGCACCGGCUACGCGGCAGCCGAGGCGAGUACGGCGCGUACGAGCGGAUACAAGCGUACACGACCGGCAAAAAGCGGCCAUAUUGAAUAAUGCUCUAAAAAAAAAUGCGCAAUUCCGCUUCCUGUUUUAGCAGCGUUAUCUGGCGUCCACCUAGGUAAGUUCCAUGCGCUGCCGCUGCUUAUUUUCGAACCACUGCGGAAGGUACAGUUUCCCUUCUCUAAAGUUGU